rnacentral:rRNA from 1 species
GAUUAACGCUGGCGGCGUGCAUAACACAUGCAAGUCGAACGAUGAAACUUUAAUGAACCCUUCGGGGAGAAUUAAAGCGGAUUAGUGGCGAACGGGUGAGUAACGCGUGAGUAACCUGCCUUACACAAGGGGAUAGCCUUUGGAAACGAAGAAUAAUACCCUAUAAAACCAUAAAGGCACAUGCAAUUAUGGUCAAAGUAUUAGCGGUGUAAGAUGGACUUGCGUCUGAUUAGCUAGUUGGUGAGAUAAAAGCCCACCAAGGCAACGAUCAGUAGCCGGCUUGAGAGAGUGUACGGCCACAUUGGGACUGAGACACGGCCCAGACUCCUACGGGAGGCAGCAGUGGGGAAUUUUGCACAAUGGGGGAAACCCUGAUGCAGCGACGCCGCGUGAUUUAGAAGGCCUUCGGGUUGUAAAAAUCUUUUGUAUAGGAAGAAAAUGACAGUACUAUACGAAUAAGGUCCGGCUAAUUACGUGCCAGCAGCCGCGGUAAUACGUAAGGACCGAGCGUUGUCCGGAAUCAUUGGGCGUAAAGGGUACGUAGGCGGCUAGAAAGUUAGAAGUCAAAGGCUAUAGCUCAACUAUAGUAAGCUUCUAAAACUAUUUAGCUUGAGAGAUGGAAGGGAAAGUGGAAUUCCUAGUGUAGCGGUGGAAUGCGCAGAUAUUAGGAGGAAUACCGGUGGCGAAGGCGACUUUCUGGCCAUUUUCUGACGCUGAGGUACGAAAGCGUGGGUAGCAAACAGGAUUAGAUACCCUGGUAGUCCACGCCGUAAACGAUGAGUGUUAGGUGUCUGGAGUCAAAUCUGGGUGCCGCAGCAAACGCAUUAAACACUCCGCCUGGGGAGUACGCACGCAAGUGUGAAACUCAAAGGAAUUGACGGGGACCCGCACAAGCAGCGGAGCAUGUGGUUUAAUUCGACGCAACGCGAAGAACCUUACCAAGUCUUGACAUAUUUUAGAAGCAAUUAGAGAUAGUUGCCUAUAUCUUCGGAUAACUAAAAUACAGGUGGUGCAUGGUUGUCGUCAGCUCGUGUCGUGAGAUGUUGGGUUAAGUCCCAUAACGAGCGCAACCCCUAUUGCUAGUUACCAUCAUUAAGUUGGGGACUCUAGUAAUACUGCCGGUGACAAACCGGAGGAAGGUGGGGAUGACGUCAAAUCAUCAUGCCCUUUAUGACUUGGGCUACACACGUGCUACAAUGGCAGGUACACAGGGAAGCAAGACUGUGAAGUUAAGCAAAACUCAAAAAGCCUGUCCCAGUUCGGAUUGCACUCUGCAACUCGAGUGCAUGAAGUUGGAGUUGCUAGUAAUCGCAGAUCAGAAUGCUGCGGUGAAUGCGUUCCCGGGUCU